AAUAUGGCUCUUUGAACAUUUUGGGUUGCCGAACCCUGUCCUUGAAGAUCUUUAAUGACGCUUGCCAGGAAAAGAACAUGGACACACCAGACUGACCUGCAAGUACACCUGGUCACUCUCCACCUGCUCAGGACUGUAGUGAUAGUGAAGCGCUGCCUCGUACACCUCAUUCUCAC